CCACCGAGCUUUGCUGUUACGAGGAAUUCACUCUGGGACGGGGCAAGCUCUGCACUGGGACGUCUCCCAGAUUGAUCGGAAGCUCUGUGCUGUGCCGCCGCACACGCCAAACCAAAGGAAUCCAUGUUUGGAUCGAGGGGAGCAGAGCUCCCCCCACCUGGACAGGCGUUUUAUCAGGUUCGGCUCGUAAGGCAGCACCACUUUGCUUAACAUUUCCCUGUGUGGCGAUGCUGUAUUUCAAGACCACACCCAAGAGGCGGGCCGUAGGCGAGGGCGAGUGUGUCUACACAGGCAUCGUGUAGC
rnacentral:lncRNA from 1 species